rnacentral:lncRNA from 1 species
AACCAGAGCCAGGACAGCAAUGCUGGCUGCUCAUUCGGCCUUCGCAUUGAGCCGCCACUGUGCGGCGUGCCGUUCCGGGUGGAAUCAGGUACCUCCCCGGUUACCCGCUAUUGCCGUUACCGCACGGGUUCCGAUUCCAAACUGUCCCCUGACGCGACAGAGUGCCGAUUCUAAAUUGGAACAAGUGCCUGGUAUAAGCGACUGUUCUGGGUGGAAUCUGGUUCGCGAGGAUUUGUAAAUGUGUCGCUGCUUUUUGUCCCUUUGGUGGAUUAUGGUCCAGAACUUGCCACCUCACUUGACUCCCUUCGCGUGCCUCAGCAUGUGCCAGACAUAUCCCUUGCAAUAUUAAUUAUAAUUAAUAAAAAAAUAUUAUUUAUAUAUUAGAAAACCAUUUUUUUCAUUAGUUUUUGAUCCAUGUGGAUAUGGUGGUGGAGAAUUUUUUGAUGAUGGUUACAAUAGGAGGGUCAAUUUAGUAAAUGUUUGGGUCAAUUUAACAAUUUCCUAUAAAUAUACAUAUGUAUAUUUAUAUCUAUGUUGUGUUUGUUAUGUAUAAAAUUUCUAUUUUUUAAUCUUUUUAAUCUUUUUAAUCUUUUAGAUUAUUUUCUGCACUUUCAAGCCUUUUAUAUUAUUAAAACUCGGGAUUUGUUAAAAUGACUGAAAUAAAAUGAAACAGGUACCUUUUCUAUUUUCAUUGCCAAGAACAAUCAUUCAGAAAGUGAUCGUUGAAUGUGUAAACUCUUGCUUCUGUUUCUAUUUCAUGUACAAGAUUUCAAGUUCUUUUUAGUGUUGAAAAUGAGCUUAUUUACUCCUUGAAAACAACUGUUUAUUAUAAUAAUAAAAAAAAAAAAAAAAAAAAAAACACACGUUUUGUGCAAGUUUCAUCAAGAGGGUUUUAUUUUUUUAUUUUCUUCAUUGCAGAUGUUGAAAUCGUGAAAUUUUAUCUAAAAUUCAUUAAAAAUUUACUUUUGCAAUAUUUUUUCGUAGAAAAAUUGUAAUUUUUUUUUGUAUAGGAACCUUAGAUUCAAAUAUACAUGUAAAGAUUCGUUUAGCUUAGAUAAAAACAUUUGAUUAACAUAUUGUAUCAAGAUUAUGAAGAAUUUUUAUGUUGUUUGUAAAGGAUGAAAUAUUAUUAUUGUUCAGAUAUGAGAUUCACAAAACAAGAGAGAAGAAAGCUUACAAAUUGCAUUAUAUGGUCAUAAUUGGUGGUUUUGCUUGUAUUUAGAAAGAAAACUCUUCAAUUAAUCAAAAUAUCGUGACAUGCUCCUUAUGCAUUUAAAUUGUUAUUGAAAAUUCCAUCAAAAUAACAUUGAUUUUAUUUACUCUUAUUCUUGUACAAACAUCAAUAUAUUCUCUUCUAAGAAAAUUAUGUUGGUUUGUUCAAACUUUGUUUUCUUUAAAUCUAGAAUAUUUGAUUGUGAAUAUAAUUUAGAAUGGUUAAUCUUAAGAAUUUCAACCAAAUCUCUUGCAAAUAUAAUUGAACGGUUGAACUUCAAAUUCAAUAUUUUCUUCUACAACUUCACAAAUUUAAAACCCAAAGAAAUUAUUUUGUUUCAACUUCACAUAUUUUUUGAAGUUGUUUGCCACCUUGGGUUUCACAUGGCAUUAUACAAUAGGUUUUUGAAUUUUGAAUAUAUCAUUCAGUCAUUCUAUUAAUCUAUCCUAUUGUAGUAGUAGGCCAGCAGUUUUAUAGAAGAUAAGUGCAAAUAUGCUUUUUUGAAUGGAAAUGAAUAAUGAAAUUAAUUAUAUAUUAGUUUAUUAUGCAACUUAAACAGAAAUAUAUAAUUAAAUUUUAUUUUAAUACUUUCAAUAAAAUUGUAUCUUGGCUUGA